rnacentral:rRNA from 1 species
GACGUAGGGGGCCAGCGUUGUUCGGAAUUACUGGGUGUAAAGGGUUCGUAGGCGGUGCGGCAAGUCGGGAGUGAAAUCUUUGGGCUCAACCCAGAGGCUGCUUCCGAAACUGCUGUGCUUGAGUGUGGGAGAGGCGCGUGGAAUUGCAGGUGUAGCGGUGAAAUGCGUAGAUAUCUGCAGGAACACCCGUGGCGAAAGCGGCGCGCUGGACCACUACUGACGCUGAAGAACGAAAGCUAGAGGAGCAAACAGG